CCUACGGGAGGCAGCAGUGAGGAAUAUUGGUCAAUGGGCGGGAGCCUGAACCAGCCAAGUCGCGUGAGGGAAGACGGUCCUAUGGAUUGUAAACCUCUUUAGGCGGGGAGCAAUGCCGGGCACGCGUGCCCGGAGGGAGAGUACCCGCAGAAUAAGCAUCGGCUAACUCCGUGCCAGCAGCCGCGGUAAUACGGAGGAUGCGAGCGUUAUCCGGAUUUUUUGGGUUUAAAGGGUGCGUAGGCGGAUUUUUAAGUCAGCGGUAAAAUGUCCGGGCUCAACCCGGGCCGGCCGUUGAAACUGGGGAUCUUGAGUGCGCGAGAAGUAUGCGGAAUGCGUGGUGUAGCGGUGAAAGGCAUAGAUAUCACGCAGAACUCCGAUUGCGAAGGCAGCAUACCGGCGCGCAACUGACGCUCAUGCACGAAAGCGUGGGUAUCGAACAGGAUUAGAUACCCGGGUAGUC
rnacentral:rRNA from 1 species